GCGCGGGUGGUGGAAUCGGUAGACACGAGAGACUUAAAAUCUCUUGCCCACAAGGCGUGCGGGUUCAAGUCCCGCCCCGCGCACCA
rnacentral:tRNA from 1 species